GAUCUUAUAUGUUAAAUUUAGAGAGUUUGUUGGGUUGACAUAUUAACAUAUUUUUUUAUCAACUAUAACAGUUGAAAAAAAACAUAAUAAAUAUGUCGAUGCGCCUUGAAGAUUUAGUAAUUCUUGAAUCUUGGAGAUAGUGACAUUGACAUUGAAGUUGAUGAAUUAUUUGGAAACGACAGUGAGGUAAAUAUGAUCUUGAGUUGUCGUGAUGGUGAAGACAUCUGGUUCACUAUUAACCCUCGUAUAUGCUUCCAUAUAGUAGAGUGACAUCAUCCAGAUCGUGUGCUGAGACAGUUCGGUACAGCACUACACCAGAUCGAUUUAAGAGGUAAGCACGACCAAGACUGGCGUCAAAUCCAUGCGGAAUAUUUAUCUUACUGGCAUGGACGAUGUGAUCAUUGUGCACAGGGAGAAUUAAGAAUGAGUCACUAUAUCAAACGACUACUUUCCCUGGUACAAUUCGAUCACGAGGCGAUUUAUCUCACCUGACGGCGCUUACUAUUACUGCAUGAAUAAUUUUAUCGGUGAUGUUCAACAAUAUUCAGUGUAGAACAACUUACUAGAAUUGGGUUCAAUGUGUCAGCAAACAUUGAUCAACAUAGAAGGUAUUAUUCAAUAAACAAGUCAACUCAAUGUUGCUGAUACCGAUUGAAGACGUAUUCGUCAUAGACGAUAGCAACAACGGGGUGAACCUAAUUUAGAGGGACACGAAGACAACCCCAUGAGGAGUAAGGGCCAGGGGUCGUUUUUAAAUUCCACAUUGAAUCAUUUUCAAAUUGUAAAUUAAAGAACUAAUUAUAGAUAUUCUUUAAUAUCAUGGUUUUUUUUAA